rnacentral:lncRNA from 1 species
CUUCGGCCCUCUGGCCAUGCAUCCUGAAAUUAGCCCCCAAAUAGCUGUCACGUUAGGCCAUUAGAAAUAAUAGCUUGAUAUUAUGACUAUCAGAGACUUUAUUACAGCCAUCAUCUAUUUUCUUCUUAAAAUAUGAGAAUGGCCAAAGACAGGACAAACUCUCUGACCCCUUUUGUCAACCCAUGCCAUAAAUGUGCAUGGCCUUCAC